UCCUCCCCCACUCCUGCCGCCCAUCCCCUCUUGCUCCCACCUCAUCCUUCCAAACCCUACCCCGCUCGCCUCCCUACCCAGCCGCCGCCAUCUCCUUCGCCGCCGGGAGCUCGACCGGGAUGCCUGCUCACGCUCACGGAGGCCGAGGCGGCCGCGCUGCUCUGGUUCGCGCUCCACCUACGCCGCCGGCCGGAGGGGGCCGCGGCGGCGGCCGUGCAGCCCGGCGACCAGGAGCUCGUCGGCGCGGUUCCCUCGACGGAUGGAUGCCUGCUCGCGCUCACGGAGGCCGAGGCGGCCGCGCUGCUCUGGUUCGCAUUCCUAGAGUUCGCGGAGCCUGACGCCACUACUUCCUUCCCAUCCCCCGCCCCGUUCCUCUCUCUCUCCUGGCUGAGCCUGACGCCACCACUGCUCCCCUCCUCAAGGUCGCGUUCUUCCUACCCAAGAUGCAGCCGCUCGUCGCGAUGAAGACCUGAGUCCACGUCGUCGUGGAGGCCAUCCACUCAUCUCGAGCCCAAGCCGUCAUUGCUCGGUUGGCUCCUGUCCAUGCCUCGCGCUUCUGGCAGCUCCUCGAGGUCGUCGUGCCCUACUCCAGGGCCUCCAUGGCACAGCUACUCGGCAAGUUGCCCCUGCAGUUCACAAGCAAGCAGGUCGUAGAGGACAUGUCACUGGCUAUGUUCAACCGUGCCCUAAAGCUUUAUGGACCAGGUCUACAAGUCAGGGGUGUUGGAUUUACUGGGUCACUCGCUAGCUCAUGCCCAAAACAUGGUGACCACAGGGAUCCAACCACAACUACAUCAUGGAAGGGGCCAAGGAUCAGCGACCCUAUACACAUCAGCAAUGACAAAGAGAACUGCUGCCACAAGAAAUAAACAGUGGUGGUCUUUUCAGAGAACUACAGUCGCAAGAAAAAGACCUAGAGUUUCAGUUGCAUGAAGCAAUCCAUGCUUGUGGUGUGAUAUUACCUUUGACAGAAGGGUGAAUGUUUCUUUUGUCCUGUUAUUGUCAUGUGAUGCAUAUGAAUAUACGCUGAGCUGCUAGAAAUAAUAUCAACAACUUCAUGGAAUGUAUUGAAGAAGGUGAUAUCAUCAUGACUCCAACAACUCCACUUACGCAUCCAGCAAUCUUGCAGGGAAUAGUUCUAAACCAUCGGCUUCAGUUGGCAUGUUACCUGAGGUCAUACUUCCCAUUACAGGCCGACGAGACGGCAGAUUCGGUUAGUGAGAAGAUCGUCCAAAAGAACAUCGUCGAGAAAGACGAGCUGAUGCAAAGAGGUUUGAACCAUUUGUUCAUGUUAUUGCCCCAGUGAGUGCGGGCAAGAAAGGCAGGAAGAAGUAAUCCCUUCUGUUAGCUUCUCGUGGCCAGGGGCGCAAUGUACGUGGAGGUGUUCAAUAGAGGGGAAAUUCUGCCGCCCUACAGCAUCAGGAAGAGGAACAGCAGGACCAGGCUGCGCUUCACCUAUAACGAUGGCAUCUGCUUGAACUCAGUUAACUGAACUCCAUAACUGAGGCUAUGUUUAUUCUGUGCCUUUGAAGAUGUAUAGCGGUGGUGCAUACGAACUAAUCUUCCUGUUCGUACUCCUACAUUGCAUAUCUGAACUUGGCCAAGAAUGGCCCAAUGCUUCUCUUGCCUCAGAG